AAAAAAAAAAAGCAUGGCCGACACAAACUCUGCUGUGGAUGAGACUGUGAAAAAUGAAAAUGAAGAGCAGGAAAAUGAAGAUGACAAUGAAGUUGUCAAUGAUGUAGAAGGAACUGAAGCCCCAAAAAAGAAAAAGAAGAAAAAGAAAAAGAAGAAGACAGAAGACUUAGACGGAGCAGUCAACGGAGUUGCUGAUGAUUUGGAAAAACAGAAGAUCAAUGAUGCUCAAGGGGAAGGAGCCAGUGAAGAAGCAGGUGAAGGACAGAAGAAAAAGAAGAAAAAGAAGAAGAACACAGGACAGAAACAACAGACUAGUCCCCCAACUAUCCCAAUAUCAGAACUGUUUCCUGACGGGAACUACCCAGAGGGCGAAAUAAUGGAAUACCCAGUGGUGCAAGACAGUACAACAGCUAAAGACAGAAUGACAAAUGAAGAGAAGCGAGCUCUGGAUAGGGCUAACAAUUACAUUUACCAGGAAGUCAGGCAAGCUGCUGAGGCCCACAGACAGACAAGAAAAUACAUGAAAGAAUAUAUUAAACCCGGAAUGACCAUGAUUGAUAUUUGUGAGACGUUGGAAACCUCGGCCAGGAAGUUGAUCAAUGAGAACAAGCUGGAGGCGGGGCUUGCGUUCCCGACAGGGUGCUCCCUGAACCACUGCGCCGCCCACUACACGCCCAACGCUGGGGACCCCACUGUCCUAGGGGUUGACGAUGUCUGCAAAAUCGACUUUGGAACACACAUUAAUGGAAGGAUUAUAGACUGUGCAUUCACCUUAUCUUUCAACCCUAAAUAUGACCGAUUACUUCAAGCUGUCAAAGAUGCAACAAACACAGGCAUUAAGGAGUCUGGUAUAGAUGUGAGAUUAUGUGACAUUGGGGAGAGGAUCCAGGAAGUGAUGGAAUCUUAUGAGGUGGAAUUAGAUGGCAAAACUUAUCAGGGUAUUUUGUAUUGUUUUUAACUUCAUAUUGGUAUAACAUGAUUUUAUUUAUCUGAUGAAAAGCAUAUAGUGCACUGCAUUUAAUUUAGAAUUUAAUUCAGCUGUUAUUAAUUUUUAUUUAAUAUAUAUGUGUACAGGAAUUGAUACAAAAAUUAAAAAACAAUGGAUGAUGUAUUAGAAAUAAACCAGAUGAUUAAUGAUAAACAAGGUGGAUAUGAAUUUGUUUAAAAAUAAUGACAGUCAUGGUUUUAAAAUAAUGUACUAUUGUAUCAAUUUUUGCAUUAGUCAAAUCCAUACGCAAUCUCAAUGGUCACUCCAUCAGUCCCUACAGGAUCCAUGCCGGGAAAACCGUCCCCAUCGUAAAGGGAGGGGAGGCCACAAGAAUGGAGGAAAUGGAAUUUUAUGCCAUAGAGACUUUUGGAAGUACAGGAAAGGGGGUUGUCCAUGACGAUAUGGAAACAUCACAUUACAUGAAGAACUUUGAGGUUGGACACGUCCCUCUGAGGGUACAAAAGUCUAAACAGCUGCUAAGCGUGAUAAACCAGAACUUUGGGACAUUAGCCUUCUGUCGGCGCUGGCUGGACCGACUGGGACAGACUAAAUACCUCAUAGCACUCAAAAACCUGUGUGAUGUAGGUAUCCUGGACCCCUACCCUCCACUGUGUGACACCAAAGGGUGCUACACGGCCCAGUUUGAACACACCAUCCUCCUCAGACCCACAUGUAAAGAGGUCAUCAGCCGUGGUGACGAUUACUAGAAACAAGGAGGAAGCAACCCUGCUUUAUCUGAAACAGAUAUAUGUCUUUCCUGAUCAUUAUUUUUUUUUGCUUUAAAGAAUUUUAUUUGUUUCCUGUAUCGUUGUUUUUCUCAAGACUUACAGUUAAUGUUAUUAUAGGAAAAGCUGUGGUCAACUGUGACGUUGAAAAUUGAUAAAACAGGAAUACCAUAUCUCAAAACCAUUUUCUUCUUUUUUUUUCUUUUUUUUCAAUAAUGUCAGGAAAUCACAAUGGAGGAAAGUGAUGUGUUUGAUACAUACAUUAUGUAAUUAUGCAAUGCGGAAUAAAGAGUUAUCAGAAAUGU
rnacentral:misc_RNA from 1 species